rnacentral:rRNA from 1 species
GAUGAACGCUGGCGGCGUGCCUAAUACAUGCAAGUCGAGCGAACGGACGAGAAGCUUGCUUCUCUGAUGUUAGCGGCGGACGGGUGAGUAACACGUGGAUAACCUACCUAUAAGACUGGGAUAACUUCGGGAAACCGGAGCUAAUACCGGAUAAUAUUUUGAACCGCAUGGUUCAAAAGUGAAAGACGGUCUUGCUGUCACUUAUAGAUGGAUCCGCGCUGCAUUAGCUAGUUGGUAAGGUAACGGCUUACCAAGGCAACGAUGCAUAGCCGACCUGAGAGGGUGAUCGGCCACACUGGAACUGAGACACGGUCCAGACUCCUACGGGAGGCAGCAGUAGGGAAUCUUCCGCAAUGGGCGAAAGCCUGACGGAGCAACGCCGCGUGAGUGAUGAAGGUCUUCGGAUCGUAAAACUCUGUUAUUAGGGAAGAACAUAUGUGUAAGUAACUGUGCACAUCUUGACGGUACCUAAUCAGAAAGCCACGGCUAACUACGUGCCAGCAGCCGCGGUAAUACGUAGGUGGCAAGCGUUAUCCGGAAUUAUUGGGCGUAAAGCGCGCGUAGGCGGUUUUUUAAGUCUGAUGUGAAAGCCCACGGCUCAACCGUGGAGGGUCAUUGGAAACUGGAAAACUUGAGUGCAGAAGAGGAAAGUGGAAUUCCAUGUGUAGCGGUGAAAUGCGCAGAGAUAUGGAGGAACACCAGUGGCGAAGGCGACUUUCUGGUCUGUAACUGACGCUGAUGUGCGAAAGCGCGGGGAUCAAACAGGAUUAGAUACCCUGGUAGUCCACGCCGUAAACGAUGAGUGCUAAGUGUUAGGGGGUUUCCGCCCCUUAGUGCUGCAGCUAACGCAUUAAGCACUCCGCCUGGGGAGUACGACCGCAAGGUUGAAACUCAAAGGAAUUGACGGGGACCCGCACAAGCGGUGGAGCAUGUGGUUUAAUUCGAAGCAACGCGAAGAACCUUACCAAAUCUUGACAUCCUUUGACAACUCUAGAGAUAGAGCCUUCCCCUUCGGGGGGCAAAGUGACAGGUGGUGCAUGGUUGUCGUCAGCUCGUGUCGUGAGAUGUUGGGUUAAGUCCCGCAACGAGCGCAACCCUUAAGCUUAGUUGCCAUCAUUAAGUUGGGCACUCUAAGUUGACUGCCGGUGACAAACCGGAGGAAGGUGGGGAUGACGUCAAAUCAUCAUGCCCCUUAUGAUUUGGGCUACACACGUGCUACAAUGGACAAUACAAAGGGCAGCGAAACCGCGAGGUCAAGCAAAUCCCAUAAAGUUGUUCUCAGUUCGGAUUGUAGUCUGCAACUCGACUACAUGAAGCUGGAAUCGCUAGUAAUCGUAGAUCAGCAUGCUACGGUGAAUACGUUCCCGGGUCU